GACGAACGCUGGCGGCGUGCCUAAUACAUGCAAGUCGAGCGGAUCUUCAUUAGCUUGCUUUUGAAGACCAGCGGCGGACGGGUGAGUAACACGUGGGCAACCUGCCUGUAAGACUGGGAUAACUUCGGGAAACCGGAGCUAAUACCGGAUAAUCCUUUCCCUCACAUGAGGGAAAGCUGAAAGACGGUUUCGGCUGUCACUUACAGAUGGGCCCGCGGCGCAUUAGCUAGUUGGUGAGGUAAUGGCUCACCAAGGCGACGAUGCGUAGCCGACCUGAGAGGGUGAUCGGCCACACUGGGACUGAGACACGGCCCAGACUCCUACGGGAGGCAGCAGUAGGGAAUCUUCCGCAAUGGACGAAAGUCUGACGGAGCAACGCCGCGUGAGCGAUGAAGGCCUUCGGGUCGUAAAGCUCUGUUGUCAGGGAAGAACAAGUAUCGGAGUAACUGCCGGUACCUUGACGGUACCUGACCAGAAAGCCACGGCUAACUACGUGCCAGCCGCCGCAGUAA
rnacentral:rRNA from 1 species